AGAGUUUGAUCCUGGCUCAGAACGAACGCUGGCGGCGCGUUUUAAGCAUGCAAGUCGAACGGUAAUAGAGUGCUUGCACUCUAUGAGAGUGGCGAACGGGCGAGUAACACGUAGGUGAUCUAUCUUAGGACCUGGGAUAGCCUGUGGAAACACAGGGUAAUACCGGAUACGACCUUAUGAUCAAAGUCAUAAGGGGAAAGUCGCUUAGGCGACGUCCUUUGCUGAGCCUGCGGCUCAUUAGCUAGUUGGUAGGGUAAUGGCCUACCAAGGCAACGAUGAGUAGCCGGCCUGAGAGGGUGAUCGGCCACACUGGGACUGAGACACGGCCCAGACUCCUACGGGAGGCAGCAGCUAAGAAUCUUCCGCAAUGGGGGCAACCCUGACGGAGCGACGCCGCGUGAACGAUGAAGGCCGGAAGGUUGUAAAGUUCUUUUCCUGGGGGAGAAUAAUGUCUGGAGGUAAUGCCAGACAGAUGACGUGAACCAGGGAAUAAGCCCCGGCUAAUUACGUGCCAGCAGCCGCGGUAACACGUAAGGGGCAAGCGUUGUUCGGAUUUAUUGGGCGUAAAGGGCGUGUAGGCGGUAAGAUAAGUCUGGUGUGAAAUACCUCGGCUCAACCGAGGGCCCGCGCUGGAAACUGUCUUACUAGAGUGAUGGAGGGGAAACUGGAAUUCCAGGUGUAGGGGUGAAAUCUGUAGAGAUCUGGAAGAACACCGGAGGCGAAGGCGAGUUUCUGGCCAUCUACUGACGCUGAGGCGCGAAAGCGUGGGGAGCGAACAGGAUUAGAUACCCUGGUAGUCCACGCUGUAAACGAUGUGCACUAGGUGUUGGUCCGUUGAGGAUCAGUGCCGUAGCUAACGCGUUAAGUGCACCGCCUGGGGAGUAUGCUCGCAAGGGUGAAACUCAAAGGAAUUGACGGGGGCCCGCACAAGCGGUGGAGCAUGUGGUUUAAUUCGACGAUACGCGAGAAACCUUACCAGGGCUUGACAUAAGCAUGACGGUUGUAGAGAUACAGCCUCUCUUCGGAGCGUGUUUACAGGUGCUGCAUGGCUGUCGUCAGCUCGUGCUGUGAAGUGUUGGGUUAAGUCCCGCAACGAGCGCAACCCUUGCUGUCUGUUGCCAACAGGUAAUGCUGGGGACUCAGACGGUACUGCCGGUGACAAACCGGAGGAAGAUAGAGCGACAGGCAAGUCGUACUAGGUUUGCACAUAAUAAAUCUUCAUCUUUGCCCCCCUAGAUCGGAAGAGCACACGUCUGAACUCCAGUCACAUCUCGUAUGCCGUCUUCUGCU
rnacentral:rRNA from 1 species